rnacentral:rRNA from 1 species
GAUGAACGCUGGCGGCGUGCCUAAUACACGCAAGUCGAGCGGCAGCACGGUCUUCGGACUGGUGGCGAGCGGCGGACGGCUGAGUAACGCGUAGGAACGUACCCCAAAGUGAGGGAUAACUGCUCGAAAGAGUAGCUAAUACCGCAUGUGAUCUAAGGAUUAAAGCUUCGGCGCUUUGGGAACGGCCUGCGUCCGAUUAGCUAGUUGGUGAGGUAAAAGCUCACCAAGGCGACGAUCGGUAGCUGGUCUGAGAAGAUGAUCAGCCAGACUGGGACUGAGACACGGCCCAGACUCCUACGGGAGGCAGCAGUAGGGAAUUUUCCACAAUGGGCGAAAGCCUGAUGGAGCAACGCCGCGUGCAGGAUGAAUGCCUUAGGGUUGUAAACUGCUUUUGUACGGAACGAAAAGACUCUUUCUAAUAAAGAGGGUCCAUGACGGUACCGUAAGAAUAAGCACCGGC